CAAAGUUUUCUGCUUUCUCAGUACAUACGUUUUUAAAAGAGCUUGCAGUAGUACUUGCGAACCUUGCUCUAAGGCACUAGUGUCUGUACUAGAAGCAACACAGGUUGCAGAGGAGCCAUGCACCCAAGGGGAUAAAUUGGUAUUGCUUCUGUGUGUUUUCCAGGCUUUCUGGAGAGGCAUUGGCAGCCUUGUAAGCAGGGACGGUGACUCUGGGUGUGUUUUUGGUAGUAAACUCAUCAGCAAGAGGACUUUCACCUUCUACAAAGAAAGAAAGUCCAUUUCCUUCCAAAGACACAAGCACAGCGCAACUCCCAGAAGUUGAUGGCGUCACUGAUUUUGUGCUUUUCAGUUUUAACAGUUGAGACAGCUUAAAAACCUGCUCCUCUCUGCGUGCUUUGGGACAGCCAAAAGCAUCGGCAAAUCUGCCAGUCCUUUUUGGCAGCCUGAUGGAUUGCAGCGCUGGAGAUUUGAUCUCCUUCCUUCCCACUCCUCCUGCCAAGUAAAACCAUGUGGGGAUCUCUACCCUCACCAAUUGUUAUAUCAUCUCCCUUUGAUUGUAUUUGUGUAUGUU